AGUGAACGCUGGCGGCGUGCUUAACACAUGCAAGUCGAACGAGAACGGAUUAUAGCUUGCUAUAAUUGUCAGCUAAGUGGCGCACGGGUGAGUAAUGUAUAGGUAAUAUGCCUCUUACUAAGGGAUAACAAAUGGAAACGUUUGCUAAUACCUUAUACUCCUUAUUAACAGAAGUUAAUAAGGGAAAGAUUUAUUGGUAAGAGAUUAGCCUGUAUUGUAUCAGUUAGUUGGUGGGGUAAUGGCUUACCAAGACUAUGACACAUAACUGGUUUGAGAGGAUGAUCAGUCACACUGGAACUGAGACACGGUCCAGACUCCUACGGGAGGCAGCAGUGGGGAAUAUUGCACAAUGGACGAAAGUCUGAAGCAGCAACGUCGCGUGGAGGAUGACACAUUUCGGUGCGUAAACUCCUUUUAUAUGAGAAGAUAAUGACGGUAUUAUAUGAAUAAGCACCGGCUAACUCCGUGCCAGCCGCCGCGGUAA
rnacentral:rRNA from 1 species